UUAAAAUGGAGUCCAGAGCAAGUCUCACUCACAUUGUCCCCAAAUUUUCCAGAGCCAUAACUGAAGACUGGAGUUUCACCACUGUCGUCUAACCAACCUGGCAAGGAAAUAUUUGGAGAUUUAGCCAGAUGUGUGAUGGAUCCAUUCUGUAGUACAUAUUGAUCCAGUUUCGUGCUGCUGAAAUAUUUGGAGAUUUAGCCAGAUGUGUGAUGAUCCAUUCUGUAGUACAUAUUGAUCCAGUUUCGUCUAGAGAUGUUUAGGCACCAUCAUCUCUACUUUGAAGCUGCUGCUAGACUUAUGAUCUUCAAUGUUAUUGGUUUGGUAUUUAUUGAAUAAAUUUCCUUUAAAAUACUCUGA